rnacentral:rRNA from 1 species
CCUUUAUGAGUAUCAAUUGGAGGGUCAGUCUGGUGCCAGCAG